rnacentral:tRNA from 1 species
GCCGCAGGUCACGUAUACGCCUUGAAAGAUCUCGUAAUGCGUAGGUCUCGGGUUCGAAUCCCGAAGGCGGCU